GUGUUUGCUUUAGCAGCACACAUACUAAAAUUGGAAUGAUAACAGAAGAGAUUAGCACGAUGCAUAAACAAGGAUAACAUGCACAUUUUUGAAGCAGUCGAUAUUUUA
ensembl:snRNA U6 U6 spliceosomal RNA